AACUUUCAACAACGGAUCUUUUGGCUCUCGAUCGAUGAAGAACGAGCAAAUGCGAUAAGUAAUGUGAAUUGCAGAAUUCAGUGAAUCAUCGAAUCUUUGAACGCACCUUGCGCUCCUUGGUAUUCCGAGGAGCAUGCCUGUUUGAGUGUCA
rnacentral:rRNA from 1 species